rnacentral:rRNA from 1 species
UACGAAGGGGGCUAGCGUUGCUCGGAAUCACUGGGCGUAAAGCGCACGUAGGCGGAUUGCUAAGUCAGGGGUGAAAUCCUGGAGCUCAACUCCAGAACUGCCUUUGAUACUGGCGACCUUGAGUCCGAGAGAGGUGAGUGGAACUGCGAGUGUAGAGGUGAAAUUCGUAGAUAUUCGCAAGAACACCAGUGGCGAAGGCGGCUCACUGGCCCGGUACUGACGCUGAGGUGCGAAAGCGUGGGGAGCAAACAGG